rnacentral:lncRNA from 1 species
GAAUACUAAAUUAAAAUUAAUAAAAGAUGAGAUACGGAGUAAAUUACCUCGUUUGGAGUAAUCGGAAUAGUAAAAUUUGGUGAUGAAUAGUAAAAUCGACCGUGAAUAGUACGUUUUGAUGCAUAGUGAUCAUCAUGUGAACAGCAACCAGGAUGAAUAGUAACUCCUAUGAAGGUCAAGAUAGUGAUUUUAGUGGAGGAGGAGAGGAAGAGUGGAACAUUGAUUUUGAUUAUUUUAUUUUAUUUUAUUUUAUUUUAUUUAUUUAUUUUGUUGUGUGUGAGGCUAAAUGAAGGAUAAAGGGGUAUUUAUAGAAUCCUCCAACGACUUAGAUGACUUUGAAUAUUUAAUUCAAAAGCUCGAGUCAAAAGAUGAGUUUUGGAUCAAGUGUGAGGAGUUUUAUGAUAGCUUUGAG